UCACAUGUCUCCUAUGGAUUAUUCCAAAACAGGGCCAAAGCAGCCUGGCAUGUCUGCAGCUGCGCAGUCAACGCAGCCUCUUCUGGUCCACAGCCAGCAUCAGCUGUCUUGUUUUAGAGAGAGGGAGAGAAAAAUACCCCUGCAAUCCUCUCAAGCAGAUUAAAAGCUGAAUCAGUGGACUGAAGCGCUUUCCAUUUCCAAGACUGCUCCACUCUCUUUCCAUCAUGGCUAAAUGAGCAUCCAGCACAGUACCGCUCCUGUACAUGUCAACUCUAUUUAACUAUCCAAUUUUGUUAGUAAAAACAUUUGUUUUUUGGAGGGCUUAAAGGCCUACUGAAAUGAGAUUUUCUUAUUCAAACGGGGAUAGCAGGUCCAUUCUAUGUGUCAUACUUGAUCAUUUUGCGAUAUUGCCAUAUUUUUGCUGAAAGGAUUUAGUAGAGAAAAUCCACGAUAAAGUUCGCAACUUUUGGUGCUAAGAGAAAAGCCCUGCCUCUACCGGAAGUCACAGACGAUGAUGUCACAUGUUGAUGGCUCCUCACAUAUUCACAUUGAUUUUAAUGGGAGCCUCCAACAAGAAGUGCUAUUCGGACCGAGAAAACGACAAUUUCCCCAUUAAUUUGAGCGAAGAUGAAAGAUUCGUGUUUGAGGAUAUUGAUUGGGACGGACUAGAAAGAAAGAAGAAAAAAAACUCGAUUGGGACGGAUUCCGAUGUUUUUAGACACAUUUACUAAGAUAAUUCUGGGAAAUCCCUUAUCUUUCUAUUGUGUUGCUAGUGUUUUAGUGAGUUAAAUAGUACCUGAUAGUCGGAAGGGUGUCUUCAUGAGUGUGUUGACGCGCAGUGUCUCAGGGAAGUCGACGGCAGCUGCAUGGACGACACAACCUCAGCUUUUCUCCGAAGUGUGACAGGAUGGAUGGACGACAACCCACAGCAAGAUGGAAUGACCUCUGACCUCCCACUGGCUUAUCUGGGCUCCAUCCACCUUCAACUGGCCAACACAAAUCCAAAGCUCGAAGCCUUUUAGAGGGGAUUUUCUGCCAGACUCAAUCUGCUUGCUUGCUAAAAGUGCAGCGGAGGCCAAAGACCUCUUAGCCCUCCAGACCAUCAUCAUCAUCAUUUUCCGCCCCCACGCGUGUUUCGCCGCGACACUCUUGGCUGCAUCCAGUAAGCUUUGAAGAAAAAGAUCUGCACAGCUCCACUCUUGUUGAGUACUGAAGCAAAUGUGUUUUGACAGCCGGCUGAAUGACUUAAUGCCCUUCUUGUUUACCGCUUUCACUGCUCUGCUCUUCGUUUCCUACAGAAACGAUAAGCAAGAAUGGACCACAUUACGGUAAAAGCCCACACAGCAGAUACGAUAAAAGGCUAUAGUCACAGAGCUGUAGGGUUAUUAUUAGGGGCUGAAGGCUCCAAAAGGAGGUUUACAAAGCGUCAUAAACAUAUCAUAGUCUACAAACCUCUCUGAGCUUUUCCACAGUUUACUUUAAGGAGAAAGGAUUAAUGUUAAGCUUUGACCCAACAGAUGCCACAGAUCCUUCCUGGCUCAUCUCAGAACUGUGACAUAGAAACCAUGCUCUUGUAGCUUUGGAAAAUGUCCUUCUACUCUCACCAGUGGCCAUGGAUGUUUUCUUUUCUUGGGAAUCACUAUUUUACUUCUCUUUUCCAUUCCAGGCAUUAUUAGACAGAAACGUCUGUCCAUCUAUCAAUCAAUAAAUAUUGCAUUUUAUUA